rnacentral:rRNA from 1 species
UACGUAGGGUGCGAGCGUUAAUCGGAAUUACUGGGCGUAAAGCGUGCGCAGGCGGUUCGUUGUGUCUGAUGUGAAAGCCCCGGGCUUAACCUGGGAAUGGCAUUGGAAACUGGCGAGCUGGAGUGUGGCAGAGGGGGGUGGAAUUCCGCGUGUAGCAGUGAAAUGCGUAGAUAUCGGGAGGAACACCAGUGGCGAAGGCGACUACCUGGCCUGUUUCUUGACGCUGAGGCGCGAAAGCUAGGGGAGCAAACGGG